GACGAACGCUGGCGGCGUGCUUAACACAUGCAAGUCGAACGCUGAAGCUCAGCUUUUGUUGGGUGGAUGAGUGGCGAACGGGUGAGUAACACGUGAGUAACCUGCCUCCUUCUUUGGGAUAACGCCCGGAAACGGGUGCUAAUACUGGAUAUUCACUGGUCUUCGCAUGGGGGUUGGUGGAUAGGGUUUUUCUGGUGGGGGAUGGGCUCGCGGCCUAUCAGCUUGUUGGUGGGGUGAUGGCCUACCAAGGCUUUGACGGGUAGCCGGCCUGAGAGGGUGACCGGUCACAUUGGGACUGAGAUACGGCCCAGACUCCUACGGGAGGCAGCAGUGGGGAAUAUUGCACAAUGGGCGCAAGCCUGAUGCAGCGACGCCGCGUGAGGGAUGGAGGCCUUCGGGUUGUGAACCUCUUUCGCUCAUGGUCAAGCCGCAACAAUGGUUGUGGUGAGGGUAGUGGGUAAAGAAGCGCCGGCUAACUACGUG
rnacentral:rRNA from 1 species